rnacentral:rRNA from 1 species
AUGAGAUCCGAUCUUGAUGAAUUCAUGGAGCAGUUGAAUCUAGAGGAUGAAGUCUUUGAUGAUCUGGUAAUCGAUGAGAACGACCAGGAGAUCAAUGAGAGCGUCAGAUGGCUAGCCCUAGCUAGGGUUCAUAUGGACAAAACCUUCAGCCCGACGACCUUCUAUAAGGAGAUGCGGGCGGCAUGGAAUCCAGCACAACAUGUGAAUUUUCGCCCGGUUGGCCCGAACUUGUUCGUUGUUCAGGCUGCGUGCCUCGGCGAUUGGGAACGGAUGAUCGAACAAGGCCCAUGGCUAUUUAGGAACUUCUUGGUGCUGAUGUGCCCCUAUGAUGGUUUUACGAAGGCAGAGGAGGUGCCUAUGGUGUAUAUGCCUGUUUGGCUCUAG